GAAGAACUCAGUCAGGUUUUUUUAUAGCAACGAAAAAAUAUUUUAACCAUGUAUUCCGUAUAGUUAACGAGCACCUGCGAAUUGCAGGUUUCCUACGGACAAUGCACGUGUGUAUGUAAAAACAAUGUUGUCAUAAAAUAGUCGCGAUAAAUUUGCACGUACGAAAUCGUAAAUGUAAGGUGCAGUUAACUAUUGUAAAAAGUCACGUACAGAGGAUUG